AAGAAAAAACCGGUGAGAGCCCAUUCUCAAGGAGUUUGUGAUCGAGGGACUUCCCUGGUGGUCCGGUGGUUAAGAAUCCACCUUCCAAUGCAGGGGAUGAGGGUUCGAUCCCUGGUCCGGGGUCUCAGAUCCCACGUGCUGCAAGGCAACUAAGCCCGUGUGCCGCAACUAGGGAAGCUCACGAGCUGCGACUAGAGAAAGCUGCACGCCACAGUGAAGACCCAGCACAGCCCUGCCCCUCCCCACAAAAAAGGAAUUUAUGGAAAAUCUCUCCCAGAAGCCUCCAGGAGACAUGCACUUACUUCUCAUUGGCCGGAGUCAGGGCAUCAGUCCACCUGGAAACCAAUCACUGGCAAAGGGGAAUGAUUUACAUCAAUAACAGUUGUCCUCCUGGGACUGGGGACGGAGCAUCUCUCCCUUGAGCUCACUGCCAUCUGCUCUGUGCUGGAACAAAGUGGGAGUUCGCUCAGUCAGGAGGAAGGGAGGACAGCAGUCUCUCUGUUGCAGGUCCUAGCAUCAGCUUUUACAUGUGAUCUUCAAAUAAAAUUGUACCCAAGUCACAGAGCGAUACCACCAGACCUGAAGGCAGAAGAGACCAUAGAAAAUCAUUAAACUUGGGUCCCACUAUCAGACCACGUGAAUUACUUAUUUAAAAUGCAUCCCACCAUCUCUGUCUCUGCCUAGUCCUGUUAGGUUGCCCUGCGUGUGUGUGUGUGUGUGUGUGUUUUAAAAUCUAACCUCGUAAAAGUGACUUCGAUUUUGGUAACUCCA
ensembl:lncRNA